rnacentral:lncRNA from 1 species
GGAACAAAGUGUGACAUUUACACAUACAACAUAAUUCUAAAUGGUCUUUGCAAAAGUAAUUGUGUUGAUGAAGCAUUCAAAAUGUUUCAGAGCCUGUGUUCUAAGGGUCUUCAACUUAACAUUAUUACUUUCACCAUCAUGAUUGGUGCGUUGCUCAAAGGUGGCAGAAAGGAAGAUGCCAUGGACUUGUUCGCUGCUAUCCCUGCUAAUGGUUUGGUUCCAAAUGUUGUGACCUACCGCUUAGUUGCAGAAAAUCUCAUAGAAGAAGGAUCGCUAGAAGAGUUUGACAGUCUGUUUUCAGCAAUGGAAAAGAAUGGUACUGCACCAAACUCACAAAUGUUAAAUGCUCUAGUUAGGAGGCUGUUGCAUAGAGGUGACAUAAGCAGGGCUGGGGCUUACCUCUCCAAACUUGAUGAGAGGAAUUUCUCAGUUGAGGCUUCCACUACUUCAUUGCUUAUAUCAAUUUUCACCAGUGAUGAAUAUCAGCACCAUGCCAAGUCUCUGCCUGAAAAGUACCAUUUCCUAAAUGAAGCCAAUAGUUCAGCGUUGAUAAAAAAGUGAAUAUUGUUUUCAACUAUGUUGAUACAUCUUCAUGUGGCAUCUUAUUUACCAACCCUGCUCUGCUGCCUCCUUUGUUUGAAGAAACACUCUGGAGAAAUGUUGUCCUGUUAAUGCGCUUUGGUAUCAGGCUCACCAGCUCAAGUUAUCUUGUGCCAUCCCAGUUUUAUAAGUAUGUUCAGAGGGGGGAACAAUUAACAAAUUAACAGGUGUAGCAACAUUCGCUCCUUAUUGUUGUAUAUUUGUGUAACUGAUCCUGAUGUCCUGGGGAUAAAAUCAAUGAUCUCGACCUUUUUUUCCUGAUAAAAUUCAUAUAUUUUAAACCCUGUAUUAUCCCCUCACAGUUUGCAGUGGUUACCGUUUGUAAUUCCAUGGAUUAAGAGAAUAAGAACAGGCUCUAACAAUCACGCUUCGGUUAACAUUAAGUUUGAUGUUUUUGAAGGCUUUUGUUUCUCUAUUCACCAUUUCUGGACGCAAGGUUAUAAAAAUGAAUAUUGCUUCUACAGGCCACUUUAAUGUAACAUGAUCUGCCAACUCAACGCCUACUGUUCAGUGGUUACCGUUUGUAAUUCCAUGGAUUAAUAGAAUAAGAACAAGCUCUAACAAUCACGCUUCGGUUAACAUUAAGUUUGAUGUUUUUGAAGGCUUUUGUUUCUCUAUUCACCAUUUCUGGACGCAAGGUUAUAAAAAUGAAUAUUGCUUCUACAGGCCACUUUAAUGUAACAUGAUCUGCCAACUCAACGCCUACUGUACAGGCCCGGCAUGCAUGUUCCUUCUGUUAUCAUUCCUUUGUGACGUGGAGUUCCACCUGUGCUUUCGAGGUAUGUUCUAAACUCAAAAGUGUUUUUGUGAUCUUUCAUGUUAGAUGUUCCCUAUUUAUGCAAUGUGGGCAUUGUCUAUUAUUAGCGUGCUGAUCAUUUGUUUGUGUAACAGGUCUUGUGAAGUUUCUCUUGUUGAUAUUGAACACGUAACCAUACAACAUUGCAUAAUUUCAGUAGAGGGAAAGUAUGUCAAUAUUUGUCCAGAAGAGGCAGAUUCUUACAAUCUCAUGCAGAGACUUGUUCUGAAUUCUGUUUGAUAGUUAUUAUUUUCCCCUUAGUACUGUGUUGGUUCGUGACUCUAGUAGGAUUUUGCUCAAUGCUGCUCAUGUGUUAUAUAUGUUUCCUUGAAACAAAAAUCAAGAGCCUUGAAUGCUUUUUUUUAAAAAAGUAAGGAUUGUGCUUAUACUUGGCUCACAUUCGUUAGUUCGUUACAGAGAAGAAAUGGUUUCUUCAGUGUGCCAUAACAUCCAGUUGUUCAUUAGGUGAUAAAAGUAGCAAUGGAGAAUUUUGGAAGUGUUUCAGCUGUCAAAAGUAUUGUCUCUGUUAAAACACGUGUAAUUUAUUUAGUAUUUUUAGCUUUUAAAUUUGAUAACAAACAAACAGGGAGUAUUUGUAUGAAGAGAGAAUGUAUGGUCCAAUAGUAUGGUGAAAUGAGAUGGCUACCUUUCCAUUUUGUUGUUUUUCCAUCGAAGGCCUUAAGAGCAGCCCUUUGAGAUGUUGCAGUGAUAUUUCCAAUUUUUUGACCAUUUUCCCCUUGGUUUUUGGCAGACCACAGCCUGAAGCAGCGUGUGUAUGUGACCACACCUCCGCCACAGCAAAGUGAUCGUUUUUCCAAUGGCAGGGGCAGAGGCAGCGAUGGUGGUGCAUCCAGCACCGGUGGAAAGUGACAGAGGAGAGAUGGCCGUGGUAGUAACACUUAUGGCAACAACAGUCACAGGGGCCUUCGAUGGAAUAUCAGCACCAUGCAACAACAGUCACAGGGCCUAACUUAAACUGACGUGAAUGGAAAAGUGAAGCAUUCUGAGUUGCUUUCUCUUCCUGCUCAUGAAGCCAAAGUGUAUAUUGGGGUCGAGCCAAUCGAUGAAUCUCCUUAAGAUCUCAAAAAAAAAAUUGAGUCGGUUGGAGAAGCCCUGGAUGUGAGUACUGCCUAAUUUCUCUGGUUUAGUUUGCAAUUGUUUUAUUCUGCAAUUCAUGGUCACUUUUUUAUGCAGGUGGAAAGGGGGAAACAAGCUGUAUGCAUUUGUUAAUUUCAGAAUUAAAAAGUUGCCUUUAGACAUUAAAGGCCAUCAAGUUGAGCAAUAAAGACCUAAAGGUUUGAUUCGCUUAGAUUCAGAGUUGAUCUUUGUUUAUUCCCUACCAUUGAUUUAUCACCGUUUUUUAUAUUGAUUUUUUUACAAAAAAAGAUGGAUGCAUAAAUGAUAAAACAAGCAUUUGAUAGCACAUGUCUUCCCGAGAGUUGGAAACUAAGUUCAAAAUUGUGUUUCUAUAUACUUUUUGUUUGUAGUUUUGUGAAUCACUGUUAGACAUAGCAAUGUCAUGGAUGUAUGAUAGUAGGAUACGCUCAGAUCCGCUUGCUAUUCUAAAAAGGGUUUGCAGCAGUUGCAUUGUUGAUCAAUGAACUUAGUUGAUUGUAGAAUACAACCUUGUGAUUAUUUUGGGACAUAACAAAGCACAAGGCUAUCUGAUUACACUUACAUCCUCUUGCUAAUUUUGAAAAGCUUGCAGCGGUUGCCCUGCUGAGUUGAAACUACAGAACCUUGUGUUUACUUGUAUUCCAGAAACCAGAACUGUGGAUGGUGGUGGAUUACGUUUCCAUAGUUUGUUGAGAUACCUUUGUAAAGUAGUUUUGGGCCCAAAUAAUCCAAGCCUACACCAACUUGCAUGUAAGCUAAAUGCUUUUGCCAUAUUAUCCAAACCUAGUUUUGCAACCCAGAGAACGUGAAUACACUCUAGUAGUUGCUGGUUACUUGUUACACUUGAUUAACUCAUAUAUAUCUUGUGACCCUGUUAUUUUUUGUUGUUGCAGGAAUAGUCUCUUACUCUCAGGCUAAGAACAGGCGAUUUGUCGGUAAUAUACCCCAUGAUUAGACGCAUGAUGUUUUCAAAAAUGCAGUGUUGAGCUGUCGCGGUGAGAAUAAAAUCUUUUAUUCAUAUUUUCCUUUGGUCUUCCUGCACGGCAACACCUGUGACUUUGCCUCUGCCACAGCAAGAUGGUCUUCAUUACUUUUUUUUUUUGUGUGUGAAGGAGGUGGCUGUCGUACUCAUGGCAGUGGUGGUGCGGCAAUGGCAGUGGUGGAUCCAGCACCAGUGGAAAGCAGCAGAGGGGCAACAACGGUCGAAGGGAUUAUUGUUCCAUAUUGAUGCUAGCAUUUGUUGCUGUUGGCAUUCAGUAGUUAGACCUUCAGAGCCUAGCACUAAAAGAGUAUUGCUGCUGUGUUACCAUGCUGGGUGUAUAUCUUAGAUAGUACUGGAAACUGUACUCUAGUAUUUUUUUUCUUUGUGUGGUGUGUCUCGGUAACAAACUGCUGUUGUUAGAAUGACAAUACUGCAAGUGGCAGAUGCGGUCUGGGAUGAUGUGGUAUUCUAUUUGUGUGCCAAGGUUGAAUAGAUGUGAUAGUCGCUGCUGAAGAAGCAGUGUACUCUUUUGCCGUGUUCAGUUUGAGGAACUGAAUGUGGUGGGUAAAACGAGAUGUGCCAACCAAUCACUACCUCUAGAUUAAUCUUGAAUACUACAGUUCCAAUGUUUAUUCUGUGUUGACAAAAAAAAAAUGAAUUCAGUGCUGAUCGUCUUUAUGUGACAUGUCAAUUUGCCGGAGUGAUUAUUCUGUCAUGCGCUCUAAUGUUUUGGCUUUGCUCUGUGGAAUGCUUUGAUGAAAUUAUAUUGAGAAAUGUUCUCCUGUCAAGUUUAUCACAGGUAAAAUAAUCUUUCAUGCAGUCCUAGUUACAUCUAACUGUAUUAUCGCCAGGGUGCUAUUAAACCACAAAAAAGGACGUCUUACUCUCCCGGUCACCCUGCUUCAAUCAAUCCUGUCCUGCUCCUGAUUCAAUUCAAGUCGCCGCUUCGAAGAAUUAGGAUGUUCUAAUUGACUAAUUCUUAAAAAAAAACGAAAUUUCAGAUUAUUUUUUUCAGGCUCUGCAGUAUAGAGAACAUCAGUAUGCGAUGAUGGAGAAAAGAGGAAAAAAAAAAUCAACAAAGAGGCGGGUCAAUUGGGCCUGAUAGCGCCCAGCAGCAGCACGCCAGCAUCCCCCAUCUGCACCCGUCGCUCCACCUCCACCUGCCCAACCACGCCGCCGCCGCCGCCGCCGCCCACCAGCUCCUACCCUCACACAACCCAGGCCACGGCACACGCGGCUCCGCCCAGCUCACGAGAGUGCUCUCCGGAGGCGGACGCAGCUGCGAACAGCCUCUGCAUCUCCAGCGACACACACUCUCCGCACAGGCCCCUGGCACUCCAGUACUCCACGACCGGCGCCACCCGCGCGCCGCCGACCACACACACCGCCGCUGCCGCCUCCCUGCAACCUCCUACCCUCGCAGGGCCAGCCCCUCCACGGCGCAGCAGUUGGCAGUUCCGCCCAGCCUACGCGAGCGGCUCUGCAUCACCGAUCCGGAGCGCGAAGCGGCGCCGUCCACGCCUCUCCACGCUGGGCCGGUAGACGCGCGCACGCCCCGCCGGCAUGUCGCGCCGCGUGAGCGCCGUCCGCGACCGGUGCUUGGAGCUGGAGCGCGUCAUCGCCGACCGCGCCCGCUCGGGAAGCCUCGGCCUCGGCGACGCACUCAAGCUGUUCGACGAAUUGCUUCCGCACGCCAGGCCCGCCUCGGUCGUCGCCUUCAACCACCUCCUCGCCGCUGUGUCUCGUUCCUCAGGCCGGCGCUCUACUACCUCAGAGUCAGAGACCGUCGUCUCCCUCUUCAACCGGAUGGUACGUGACUGUUACAUCAAGGUGGCUCCCAACCGUUGUACCUACAGCAUUCUCAUCGGCUGCUUCUGCCGCAUGGGCCAUCUGGAGCAUGGCUUUGCCGCCUUUGGCCUCAUCCUUAAGACAGGAUGGAGGAUGGAUCACAUAGUCAUCAAUCAACUGCUCAAUGGUCUCUGUGAUGGAAAGAGGGUGGGUGAGGCCAUGGACGUUUUGCUCCAACGAAUGCCUGAGCUUGGCUGCAUGCCGGAUACAGUUUCAUACAACAUACUUCUCAAGGGUUUGUGCAAUGAAAAGAGAGCUGAGGAGGCACUUGAGCUGCUCCACAUGAUGGCUGAUGAUCAAGUUUGGAGCUGCCCACCAAAUGUUGUGUCCUACAGCACCGUCAUCAACGGUUUCUUUACCGAGGGUCAAGUGGACAAACCUUACAACCUAUUUCUUGAAAUGAUGGAUCGAGGGAUUCCACCUGAUGUUGUGACAUACACCACAGUAAUUGAUGGCCUGUGCAAAGCUCAAUUGUUUGAUAGGGCUGAGGCUGUCUUUCAGCAGAUGAUUGAUAAUGGCGUUAAGCCAAACAUUGACACAUAUAAUUGUCUGAUCCAUGGAUACCUCUCUAUUGGGAAGUGGAAAGAGGUGGUACGAAUGCUCGAAGAAAUGUCUGCAGGCGGUCCUAAACCAAAUUGUUGUACUUAUGGUUCGCUGCUGAACUACCUAUGCAAGAAUGGAAGAUGCAGAGAAGCUAGAUUUUUUUUUGAUUCUAUGAUUGGGAAGGGGAUAAAACCUUCCGUAACUACCUAUGGCAUUAUGCUUCAUGGAUAUGCUACCAAAGGUGCACUUUCUGAAAUGCAUGAUCUCCUAAAUUUGAUGGUAGCAAAUGGUAUUUCACCUAACCAUCACAUCUUCAACAUAUUCUUCAGUGCAUAUGCUAAAUGUGGUAUAAUAGAUAAGGCAAUGGAUAUUUUUAACAAAAUGAGGCAGCAAGGGUUGAGUCCUGAUGCAGUAAGCUACGGAGCACUAAUAGAUGCACUAUGCAAGUUAGGCAGGGUGGAUGACGCGGAGGUCAAAUUCAACCAGAUGAUCAAUGAAGGAGUGACUCCUGACAUUGUGGUUUUUAGCUCUCUUGUUUAUGGACUGUGCACCGUUGACAAAUGGGAGAAGGUUGAGGAAUUAUUCUUUGAAAUGUUGAAUGUAGGAAUUCACCCUAACAUCGUAUUCUUCAACACAAUAUUGUGUAACUUAUGCAAAGAAGGACGGGUUAUGGAAGGCCAGAGACUCGUUGACUCGAUUGAAUGCAUGGGUGUGAGGCCUGAUGUUAUUUCAUAUAAUACAUUAAUAGAUGGCCACUGUUUAGCCGGUACAAUUGAUGAAGCAUCGAAGUUACUUGAGGGUAUGGUAUCAGUUGGCUUGAAACCUGACAGUUUUUCUUAUAAUACAUUGCUUCAUGGCUACUGUAAAGCUGGAAGGAUAGACAGUGCAUAUAGCCAUUUUCGAAAAAUGUUGAGUAACGGUAUUACACCUGGAGUUGUGACUUAUAAUACUAUACUGCAUGGUCUGUUUCAAACCAAGAGAUUUUCUGAAGCAAAGGAACUCUAUCUCAAUAUGAUCAAUAGUGGAACAAAGUGGGACAUUUACACAUACAACAUAAUUCUAAAUGGUCUUUGCAAAAGUAAUUGUGUUGAUGAAGCAAUCAAAAUGUUUCAGAACCUGUGUUCUAAGGGUCUUCAACUUAACAUUAUUACUUUCAACAUCAUGAUUGGGGCGUUGCUCAAAGGUGGCAGAAAGGAAGAUGCUAUGGACUUGUUCGCUGCUAUCCCUGCUAAUGGUUUGGUUCAAAAUGUUGUGACCUACCGCUUAGUUGUAGAAAAUCUCAUAGAAGAAGGAUCGCUAGAAGAGUUUGACAGUCUGUUUUCAGCAAUGGAAAAGAAUGGUACUGCUCCAAACUCACAAAUGUUAAAUGCUCUAGUUAGGAGACUGUUGCAUAGAGGUGACAUAAGCAGGGCUGGGGCUUACCUCUCCAAACUUGAUGAGAGGAAUUUCUCAGUUGAGGCUUCCACUACUUCAAUGCUUAUAUCAAUUUUCUCUAGUGAUGAAUAUCAGCACCAUGCCAAGUCUCUGCCUAAAAAGUAUCGUAUCCUAAAUGAAGCCAAUAGUUCAGCAUUGAUAAAAAAGUGAAUUCAGAUUUCAACUAUGUUGAUACAUCUUCAUGUGGCAUCUUAUUUACCUACCCUGCUCUGCUGCCUCCUUUGUUUGAAGAAACACUCUUGAGAAAUGUUGUCCUGUUAAUGCACUUUGGUAUCAAGCUCACCAGCUCAAGUUAUCUUGUGUCAUCCCAGUUUUAUAAGUAUGUUCAGAGGGGGGGAGCAAUUUACAAAUUAACGGGUGUAGCAACAUUCGCUCCAUAUUGUUGUAUAUUUGUGUAACAGUUCCUGAUGUCCUGGGGAUAAAAUCAAUGAUCUCGACCUUUUUUUUCCUGAUAAAAUUCAUAUAUUUUUAAACCCUGUAUUAUGCCCUCACUGUUAGCAGUGGUUACCGUUUGUAAUUCCAUGGAUUAAGAGAAUAAGAACAAGCUCUAACAAUCACGCUUUGGUUGUUUCAUAUAAUAUCUUCUACAUGGAUUAAGAGAAUAAGAACAAGCUACUUGAUGUUAUGGUCUCAAUUGGCUUGAAACCUGAUAAAGUUACUUAUAAUACUUUGCUUCAUGGCUACUGCAGAGCUCGAAGGAUAGAUGAUGCAUAUAGCCUUUUCCGAGAAAUGUUAAUGAAGGGACUUACACCUGAUGUUGUGACUUAUAAUACUAUAUUGCAUGGAUUGUUUCAGACCGGGAGAUUUUCUGAAGCAAAGGAACUCUAUCUCAGUAUGAUCAAUAGCAGAACACAGAUGAACAUCUACACAUACAACAUAAUUCUAAAUGGUCUUUGCAAAAGUAAUUGUGUUGAUGAAGCAUUCAAAAUGUUUCAGAGCCUGUGUUCUAAGGGUCUUCAACUUAACAUUAUUACUUUCAACAUCAUGAUUGGGGCGUUGCUCAAAGGUGGCAGAAAGGAAGAUGCCAUGGACUUGUUCGCUGCUAUCCCUGCUAAUGGUUUGGUUCCAGAUGUUGUGACCUACCGCUUAGUUGCAGAAAAUCUCAUAGAAGAAGGGUCGCUAGAGGAGUUUGAUGGUCUAUUUUUAACAAUGGAAAAGAGUGGUACUCCUUUAGACUCACGUUUGUUAAAUGCUCUAGUUAGGAGGCUAUUGCAGAGGGGUGACAUAAGCAGGGCUGGGGCUUACCUCUCCAAACUUGAUGAGAAGAAUUUCUCACUUGAGGCUUCCACUACUUCUGAGCUUAUAUCACUUUUCUCGAGGGGUGAAUAUCAGCACCAUGCAAAGUCUCUGCCUGAAAAGUAUCGUCUCCUCAAUGAAGCCAACAGUUGAGCAUUGACAAAAAAAGGUGAAUUUAGUUUUCAACUG